CAGCAGUGCUAAGCACUAAGCCACUGUGCCCUCCUAAUUACUGGUUUUUCAUCUAUAGUCACAUGUAGGCGAGUUCUUUCUUGGUGUCUUGGACAUCUAUCCCUCAUUAACCAUUGCAAAAGAAACUAACAGUUGCUGAAGAUCUGAAACAAAAACAGAAAUUGUGGGAGAAACUCAGCAGGUCUGGCAGCAUCUGUGGAGGGAGAAAGCAGAGUUUACGUUUCAGUGACCCUUCUUCAGAACUUAGUAUCUGGUCGUUACUGCAUUGCAGUUUGUGGGACUUUGAUGAUGCACUUUGGCUGCGACAUUUCUCACAUUAUAACAUCAAUUUACUUUAAAAGGAACUAAUGACAUCCUGAGGUCAAAACAGAUGUUAUAUAAAUACAUUUCAUUUGGAGUUAAAAGAUUGUCUCUUUGCCAGGAUGUAGAUGUGAGCUAUCCCUGAUAAGCUCUGCUUCCCUAAUCUUGACCAAAUAAAAGGCUUUCCCAUUUCUCUCAGAAGGAAAUACUGUGACAGUACUUUUGGCUCAAAGAACUAUUGCUAAUUUAACCAAAAAGUAAUAUCUAUUUUUAACCCUUUCAAUAGAAGAUUCACUUUGGCAAGUCAAUGUCUGACAUUGUUUAUGAGACCAAGCCAACUCAGUUUUCAUUGUAUCAAUGUCUGUGGUUGAAAAAAAACUAUUCUGUUUAAAAAGGUCAUUCCCCCUUGAACAAAGAUGUGCAUCCAAGAUGGCUUCAAUCAUGAUGGAGACAUCACUGGCUCAGCCCUCUCCAGAAGUUACCUCUGGUGCCUGAGGCAGGGAAACCUGGCACUGAGUAGUCAGAAGCUUUAUGAAUUGGUCUGGAUCAAAAUCUGGAGCUAGUUUUGGAAAAGUGCACAGUAGUCACAAAAGUUUAUCAGAAUUCUGCAGUUCCCAGCCUCUCACUCAAAAUUAUGGAUACAAAGGAAAGGGAAGGAACUCAAGUUAUACAGAGUGUAUUCAGUCGAUAAGGCUAUAAUCAGGAACUAACCCUCCCAGAUCCAAAAGGCAGACUCAUGUGAGUGUUAAACGAAAAUUAUUAUUGCCAGACCUAAUCUGCCAAGUGGACCAAUUCUGUGUAGAAAUAAUCAAAGCAAAAGACGCAAUCAGUUGGCACUAUAAAUCUUCAAAACAAAACUUCAAAUUGUGCCAUUAAAAAGAAUGUGCUGACUUGCAAGUAUGCCAAAAAAACGGUUGAGAAAGCAUAUGGGAUACUUGCCUUUAUUAGACGAGGCACAGAAUUAAAGAGCAGGGAGCUUAUGUUGGCACUGCAUAAAAUACUAGAAUACUGCGUGCUGCUCUGAUCACCACAUUAUUAUAGGAAGGAUAUGAUUGCACAAGAGAAGGUGUAGAGGAGAUUUACCACGAUGCCGCCUGGGCUGGAGGGUCUGAGCUUCGAGCAAAGAUUGGAUAGGCUGCAGUGUGUUCCUUACUGCAUCGAAGUGGAAUAACAAAAUGUAUGACAUAUUUUGAAGAAAGCCUCAGAGUUGGAAUUUGCAACAUCUUUCAAGGUGCUCAGGAUCCUGCUACCUGAUGCUAAGGCUCUGCAAGUGAUCUACUCCUCAAAGCUACUUUUGAUAACAGGAUACCCACAGAAGUCAUCAAGAAGCAAUGGCUUAUGGUCCCCAUUUGAGAUCAAUAUCUUGUAAAAUAAAUUUGAAUUUCAAGUGACUGACUUGAAAGAUCAAACAAGAGGAUUUCAAGUUUCAAGACUUUU